GUUAUUUAUUUAUUUUGAUUGGGCCUAAAAACUUGAAGUCAAUGCUUGCAACGUGGACUCCAUGCGGCUGAAGUUCAAGCUGCAGAAGCCUCUGAAGCAUUUCAUCAAAUACCUGGCCUGCAACUCCGAUUGGUACCAAAUUGGCUGAAGUUCUCCCAUAUUAGCCACACAAUCAUGGAGCCAGUGAAGGGGUGUGAACCCGUCGGCUUUUCACGCUGCAGAACAAAUCGGGAGUUAUAUUAUCAACCAUUGGAAUUCAAAUUGAAGCAAUCCGGCAAUCAGGCAAUCCAACCAUCCAAGAACGAUAUAUCUGAAGCUGAAGGAGAUGGAACUAUAUAUAUUGGAGAGAAACAAAACUUGAAAUCAAGUGUAUAUUGGAGAUCUGUCUAAAGAACCAAAAAGGUUGAGGUUUGUAACUCAUGGAUCUUAUCCGGUUAUUGUGCCAUUUGGUCAAGUACUUGUCUGCAGGCAAUAUACCUUGAGGCUUCCGGCUUUGCUUUACCGCCUUAAAUUUCUCGACCUGUCGCCCAUAUGUUUGAAUUCCAUAUUUCCAUGGGCUACGUCCAGUGUGUUCUCUGCUUGAUUAGAAGCUCUCCUAACCUUGAAAAGCUUUAUGUUGAGGUUGGCUUUUGAAUUGCUUAAAACCAUUUUGUUUCCCAUACGCCUUAAUCUUCUGUGCAGAGAGCUUUCUGACAGCCCUACUGAUGAACCCACACUCAAACUUUUGGAAGCUCAAAGCUGUUAUGAAGACUUUACCUUUGAUAGCUCAAAGCUGCUAUGAAGACUCUACCUUUGAUGGGCUAAAAGAAGUGAGGAUGUGAUCAUUCACUGUUUGCAAUCAGAAUUCUCAUGGUCGGAAAGCAAUGCGUGCCUGUGAUUCAGCUUCAGAUAUGAUCAGUAACCUACCAAGCGACAUCCUUGAUAACAUCCUUACAUGCUUACCAAUACGAGAUGCUGCUAGAACAUGUGUUUUGUCUAAGAUAUGGAGAUUUAAGUGGCUAUAUCUGUCAGAACUUGUGUUUGACGAGGCCUUUAGUGGAAUGGGAACAUCGCCAGGAGACACAGUCUGGUCUACAAGGAUUUAUGAGAUUCUCUUACUUCAUCGCGGACCCCUGCGUAAAUUCGUUCUUUCUAACCCAGAGUUGCUCUGUGGUCCUCCUAUAUAUUGGAUAAUACUUCUCCUAUCUCAAAAGAAUAUUCAGGAAUGCAAAUUUUCUCCAAAGCCAGGGAUCUAUUAUGAAUUCCCUUUAACUCUGUUUUCAUGCACGCAUCUGACUCAUUUGAGUCUAUCUCAGUGCGAUUUCAGACGUCCACCUGAAUUCAUCGGGUUUAGCAACCUCAUCAGUGUUGAAUUCAAUCGGAUUGAUAUGUCUACCCAUGCUUUUAGGACUUUUUUAUCUAUAUGUCGUCUCCUUGAACGACUAAAACUUGAUUCUUUGUCUGAAAUUGGUGACCUUGAUAUCAAUGCUCCCAAUCUCAAGUACUUAUACUUACAUGGCAUGUUUAAAGAAAGCCCCGCUUCUUUCGACGUUAAUAAUAAGAAAUAAUGACUAUUGGAGCUUAUUUGGGCAUGGGUAUAUUUUUAAUGUUUCAAUUCUCUACCCAUGAUUGAGCACCUUGUUGUUGGUCACCCCUUUUUGUUGAACUUGUUUGCAGGAAAAAUACCUGAGAAGCUGCCGUCUACAUUUAAGCUCCUCAAGUAUUUGGAACUGUCUGAUUUGCCUUUGAAAUACAAGGAGGUAGCCAUGUUUGCUAUCUGUUUGAUCAGAAGCUGUCCUAACCUAAAGAAACUUAGAAUCAAGGGGUGUCGUGGCUGUGAUGUGAACUUAACUUCCCCAGAGAGUCUUGUCAAAGCUCAAGAGCCUUGGGAGGAUUCCCUGAAUCAGCUUCAAGAAGUAAGGAUGGAAGUCUUCUGCGGUACAUGGCCUGAAUUGGAAUUUCUAAAGUGCUUAUUAGCCAAAUCAUUGGUACUUGAAAAGAUAAUUAUUCAGACAGAGGUUGAAAUAGGAUUGAAGAUCUUGAGAGACGUACUUCGACUUCGUCGGGCAUCACCAAGGACGGAAAUCUUAUUUUUAGAUCCCGAGGAAGAUUAGCAUUUUUAUCCUUGACCAACAUCUUAGGAAGAGAGUUCUGGUGUUGGAUGAGCAUCACCAGAAGCAGAAAUCACUACUGAGACAGACACAUUUUGUGGGGAGAGAAGGUUUUUUGUUAUUUGAAUCAUAGAGAUCUAAAGAUAAAGUCUUGAUGUUUUUUUAUUGAUGGGACAAGAAGAAAUGAAUUGCUAUUAAGAAAUCUAAUGACUCUGAAUUAGGCAUUCGUCGAUAUCGAUACUGCAGAGUUGAGUUUUGUGUUUCAGAAUACUUGCUAUCCUGAUUCAGAAAAGCAUGAGAUUCAGAUAUUAAGUUCAUAUAUUUCAUUGUAUUUUCUGCUA